AUAUAUAUAUAUAAGUUGACGUAAAACGAACCUAGCUAUCCCGCCUAAAUCUUCCAAAAAGAUUCAUCGUUUUACUUACAUGCCGACGAUAAUUAUGCGCGACAUACAUUGCAUGAACCUUGAAACUCGUAUGUAUACAUAACAUACACAUUAUGUCGUAUUGCCAAAGUUAGUUUUUUUAAGCAAGCUUUUGUAGCCAAUGAGAAGUGUGUCGUGUUUCGCGAGGAUCAAUAAAAUCAUGUCCGCGGAGGAAGGAAGGAGGUUUCGACUGAACGACUGAACGUUGCUGAGCACUUUGCGAGAAGAGGCAUUUCGUUUCUGUGGUUACCCUGGUAUAGAAUACCCGAACGAAUAUAACUUUGAGAAGUUCGAAGACGAUGGAAAGCCUGCUGUCUUUGGCGGUUAUAUUUGUUAUCCGCUGUACCCAUCUCCGAGGAAUCGUUUCCGAGCAUGUUGCUAAGGAAAUCGUUGAUCAACAAAGGUGUUACAGACAUUAUCCAAUCAAUGAAAGCUCCUGUACGUGUUGAGAUAGAAGGUUCGGUUGUACCACAACCAAUACCAGUGGAUGUAAUACCAACUAAUACAAGAUUAAGUG